rnacentral:rRNA from 1 species
UACGUAGGGUGCAAGCGUUGUCCGGAAUUAUUGGGCGUAAAGAGCUCGUAGGCGGUUCGUCGCGUCGGCUGUGAAACCUGAGGCUCAACCUCAGGCCUGCAGUCGAUACGGGCGGACUUGAGUACUGCAGGGGAGACUGGAAUUCCUGGUGUAGCGGUGAAAUGCGCAGAUAUCAGGAGGAACACCGGUGGCGAAGGCGG